rnacentral:rRNA from 1 species
GACGAACGCUGGCGGCGUGCCUAAUACAUGCAAGUAGGACGCAGUUGCGAACGGGUGAGUAACGCGUAGGUAACUGCCUAUUAGAGGGGGAUAACUAUUGGAAACGAUAGCUAAUACCGCAUACUAGUAGAUGGACCUACGUUGUAUUAGCUAGUAGGUAGGGUAAUGGCCUACCUAGGCAACGAUACAUAGCCGACCUUAGAGGGUGAUCGGCCACACUGGAACUGAGACACGGCCCAGACUCCUACGGGAGGCAGCAGUAGGGAAACUUCGGCAAUGGGGGAAAGCCUGACCGAGCAAGGCCGCGUGAGUGAAGAAGGUUUUCGGAUCGUAAAGCUCUGUUGUUGAGGAAGCGGUACUUAGCCAGAAAGGGUCGGCUAACAACGUGCCAGCAGCCGCGGGAAUA